rnacentral:tRNA from 1 species
CCCUGGCUGGCUCAGUCAGUAGAGCAUGUGACUCUUGAUUUCAGGGUCUGGGUUCAAGUCCCAUGUAGGGCA